rnacentral:rRNA from 1 species
AGAGUUUGAUCCUGGCUCAGGACGAACGCUGGCGGCGUGCAUAAUACAUGCAAGUAGAACGCUGAAGAGAGGAGCUUGCUCUUCUUGGAUGAGUUGCGAACGGGUGAGUAACGCGUAGGUAACCUGCCUUGUAGCGGGGGAUAACUGUUGGAAACGAUAGCUAAUACCGCAUAACAAUGGAUGACACAUGUCAUUUAUUUGAAAGGGGCAAUUGUUCCACUACAAGAUGGACCUGCGUUGUAUUAGCUAGUAGGUGAGGUAAUGGCUCACCUAGGCGACGAUACAUAGCCGACCUGAGAGGGUGAUCGGCCACACUGGGACUGAGACACGGCCCAGACUCCUACGGGAGGCAGCAGUAGGGAAUCUUCGGCAAUGGGGGCAACCCUGACCGAGCAACGCCGCGUGAGUGAAGAAGGUUUUCGGAUCGUAAAGCUCUGUUGUAAGUCAAGAACGGGUGUGAGAGUGGAAAGUUCACACUGUGACGGUAGCUUACCAGAAAGGGACGGCUAACUACGUGCCAGCAGCCGCGGUAAUACGUAGGUCCCGAGCGUUGUCCGGAUUUAUUGGGCGUAAAGCGAGCGCAGGCGGUUUGAUAAGUCUGAAGUUAAAGGCUGUGGCUCAACCAUAGUUCGCUUUGGAAACUGUCAAACUUGAGUGCAGAAGGGGAGAGUGGAAUUCCAUGUGUAGCGGUGAAAUGCGUAGAUAUAUGGAGGAACACCGGUGGCGAAAGCGGCUCUCUGGUCUGUAACUGACGCUGAGGCUCGAAAGCGUGGGGAGCGAACAGGAUUAGAUACCCUGGUAGUCCACGCCGUAAACGAUGAGUGCUAGGUGUUGGAUCCUUUCCGGGAUUCAGUGCCGCAGCU